GCAGUCGAGGGGUAACGAUGUCUUCGGACAGGCGACGACCGGNGCACGGGUGAGNNNCGCGCCUUGUAACCUACCUUUAACUGGAGAAUAGCCCGCAANAAAUUCGGAUUAAUACUCCAUAACACUAUGAUCUGGCAUCUUUUUAUAGUUAAAGCUCCGGCGGUUAAAGAUGGGCAUGCGUAACAUUAGUUUGUUGGUGAGGUAAUGGCUCACCAAGACUACGAUGUUUAGGGGGUCUGAGAGGAUGGUCCCCCACACUGGUACUGAGACACGGACCAGACUCCUACGGGAGGCAGCAGUGAGGAAUAUUGGUCAAUGGGCGAAAGCCUGAACCAGCCAUGCCGCGUGAAGGAUGACAGCGCUACGCGUUGUAAACUUCUUUUGUACGGGAAGAAACACUUCUACGUGUAGAAGCUUGACGGUACCGUACGAAUAAGCAUCGGCUAACUCCGUGCCAGCAGCCGCGGUAAUACGGAGGAUGCAAGCGUUAUCCGGAUUUAUUGGGUUUAAAGGGUACGUAGGCGGAAAAUUAAGUCAGUAGUGAAAUCCUGCAGCUUAACUGUAGAACUGUUAUUGAUACUGGUUUUCUUGAAUGUAGUUGAGGUAGGCGGAAUGUGUAAUGUAGCGGUGAAAUGCUUAGAUAUUACACAGAACACCGAUUGCGAAGGCAGCU
rnacentral:rRNA from 1 species